GCCAGCAGCCAUAUCACCCUGCAACUCACAACUGGCAACUCACUGAAGCUAAGCAGGUGUAAGUCUGGUCAGUACCUGGAUGGGAGACCUCCUGGGAAAAACUAAGGUUGCUGUUG
rnacentral:rRNA from 1 species